GGGAAGGUGGCCGAGUGGUUAUGGCGCUACGUUUAGGCCGUAGUUCGAAAGAGCGUGGGUUCGAUCCCCACCCUUCUCA
rnacentral:tRNA from 1 species